rnacentral:lncRNA from 1 species
GUCCCGGGGGGGCCUGCCGCAGGAGCGGGGCGCCUCUUCCGCACCUCCAGGUCACGGGGAACCUGGUGGUGACUGCUGGCUCCAGGGCCUGCCAGGCUGUGGGUCACCAAGCAGUUUCCUGUGGAAAGCCUCCCACCGGAACUCCCUGGGAAGCAAACACCAUCCUGGACGGUGAGGGCCACGGAGCUGAUGGCCAAGCAAACACCAUCAAACCCCUGGCUCAGAAAAACAAGCAGAGCCUGCCCACAAGGAUCUGUAGAUGCUACUUUUCGUUCAGAGACAUGACGUUCCCGUUGGUGGUCAAGUGUCUGGGCUCCUCCAGCCUGCACCGUUGUUAUCGGAACAAGGCUUCGAAAACCUGCUGUUGGGUCUGGCCCCGCUGGACAUUGACAGCCACCUCGCUCAGUGCCUGGCGGGAAGCACAGAAGACGUGGUGUGGUGAGCCGACAGCCCUGCGAGUCCAGCCAGGCGGACGCCCAGACUCCCUCUGCCUGAACCGUGUCCUUCCCGCUUCGACCGCUGUAGUAAACUUCAGUGUGGACCCCGGUGUUGUGUGUUUGUAUCGGGAGCGAAACAUGGGCCCCUUUGUCUUUUCGGAUUACGUUAAGCCGAGUGCUCGCCUGCCGUUCGAACUGGCAGAGCCGCUCAGCAGAGGGACCCAGGCCCAGGUGGAGGAGCUGAGACUCCGGAGCAGAACUGGCCGGGUCUACAGAUGGGCCGUCGGCGGGGUAGCACGUUUUCCCGUCUCCACGGACUGCACUCGCACCGGGUUUUAACUCCCCGAGGAACUGCUCCUUAUGCGGGGCAGGCCGCCGUGAGGCGCCCGCGCAGCUCACCGACGGGCGGGCGGGGACCAGCGGGAGGGACCGGGCCAGGCGCCACGGGCAGCAGGCAGGCCANNNNNNNNNNNNNNNNNNNNNNNNNNNNNNNNNNNNNNNNNNNNNNCUUCCCAGGGCAAGUAGAAAAUGGGGCACAAGACUGUUUAUAGGUAGUUUUCCUUCCAGUGCUGCCGGCCCACAGAUUCUGGAAGAGCUGGGCUUUGGUGGCAUCCACCGUGGCCGCAGAGCAGUGGCGGCAGGGAGCCGGUCACGAUCCACAAAGAGACCGUGGAGGAACCUAACUGCAGGUGACCAAGGGAAAGACGCCUGUCUGCAAAGGCCGCACGCUGUAUGACCCUCGCUCUAGGGGCUUCUGGAAAAGGCAGAACUGCAGAAACAGUAAGGAGACCCGUAGUCACCCGAGGACGCGCACAUGGGACUUUCGGGGCAGCGAGGCUACUUGCGUGAUCUGCACUGGUGGAUACAGGUCACCAUUUGUCCCAACCGCGCUCUGCACCCCCAAGACGUGAACCCGGCGUCGUGGGGACGAUGACGUGUCGGCGCGGUUCAUCCAUGGCCACACAUGGCCCCUGGGAGGGGAGGGUGACGGUGGGGGCAGGGGCACGUGGGAAACCUCGGCAGAUGGCCUGCGGCUUACGUGAACCCAAAGCCACUCUAAAUAAAGGCUAGUUUCUACAACGCCUCCA